rnacentral:misc_RNA from 1 species
UUAAGUUCAGCGGGUAUCCCUACCUGAUCCGAGGUCAACCGGUAAAAAAUUUGGUGACGACGGGCGCCGACCGGGCCUAAAGAGCGGAGAUGAUCCCCAUACGCUCAGGCACCGAAAUCGGUACCGCCACUGCCUUUCAGGCCCGUCCACGGGGGACGAGGCCCAAUACACAAGCCGCGCUUGAAGGUUGCAAUGACGCU